CUCAGUUUGAUCUUCAUCCACCCAGGGACCUAUUUAUAUUCAUUGACCAAUCAGUAGUUUCUGGGGGUCUUCUUUUCCAUUGCCUACUUGCAUCAUUAAUUGAUGCCUCAAGAUGGAAACACCUUUCUUCUUGUACAUGGGAUCCAACUCCCUGUUGGUGCGGUGCACCUGGAGGAACAGGAAGGUGGUUAUAAAACCUUGAUGGCAAAAGCUAUUGCAUCUUCUCCUCUCCAUUCUUCUCCCAUUCUCUUCCUGUUCUCCCCGAUGUGGGUGGCCAAUCCUCUUUUUAACAUCCGAAGCCCAGAACCAAAACAUGACAUUUAGCCAAAAUUCUUGGGCUUCAAUGCAUUCCCAACUAUUGUUUAUCAUUUCUUUUUGAGGUUGGGUCUACUGUGCUAGUCCGUUGACAUCUGCACAAGCAUGAUCCUUCGCCUGUGAUGUGUAAUCUCUUUUUGUUUUUUAGAUUUACUCUGCUAGGAAUGAAGUUUUGCACAGGGCAAUGCAUCUCUGACAAUGCUUAUUUUUCUUUACAAUCUUAGAGAUUUUUUCUUCCGCUUCGCUACAAUUACUGUUUACUGUGUUUUUACAAACAAAAUCCUGC
rnacentral:lncRNA from 1 species